CUGUAAACAAAAGUACAAAAUUUGUGUACUAAAACCAGCUUGUGUCAGUAGCGGGAAGGGACUUGGGGCUAGGUUAGGAUGCACCGAUCUUUUGAGCCAAGUCAACUUAUUUAAUUCAUGGAAGGAGAGUGUGUUCCUUUCUUUUGCUUCUGUCUUUGCUCAGAUAUCUCUUUGAGAGUUCUCAGAUUUCUGUUGCUGCUGUAAUAUCAAUAAAUAGGAAGAAGGAGGAAAAUAAAGCGGUGACAGGGACCCUGUCUCUAAGCUCAUCCACACCCCCAGCUGAAAUUAUCCUUCUCACUGGGGCACAGGUGCUGAUUUCCCUGCCUGAUUUGGUCAUUAAACACUUCUUGCUGCUUCAAUACAUUUUCCGCCAAGGCCCCUGUCAAGGAUGCUGCUUCUCCUGUGAUUAGAACACAGUCAAUUGGGCCUCUGAACCUAUUACUACCCUUUUCUUAAUGACCUUAUAAUAGCUGCCGGACUUAUUCAGGCCACUUGAUAGAUAACGAUGUCAAUUAUGCACACCUCAAAUAGUGUCUUCUCGCCUGGUACAAUUUCUUGCUUAGUUUUGUUUUGUAAAAAAUAGAGCCAGCCAAUAGCAAGAUAAAUGCUUCUCUAAUUUAUAUUUUCUAAAUAUGUCAUACAGGUUUGGGUUCAUGAUCCAAUACAUUCAUGAAUUGCCAUGGGACUAAUAAUACCAGUUGCUUCACAGAUUGUAUGACGACAGAAUCAAAUAAAAUUCACUCUCCUCUGUGAAAUGACUUCAUAUUGGUGAGUCAUUAAUCAGGUGAUCAGGAAAUGUGGUUUUUGGCAGACAGUUGGGGUCAUGCAGCUUGAUAUUCAAGAGAAGUAGAACCCUCUCCUCUUCCAGAGGACAUCUCAGCUUUCUUGAGGUAUCACUGAUAUACAAAGAACUGCACACAGUUAAUGUGCUCAACUGAAUGACUUCAGACAUCCACAAACACUCAUGUUACCAUCACCACAAUCAAGGUAAUCGAUAUGCUGAACAUCUCCUGAAGUUUCCUUGGGUCCUUUUGUUUUUGUUUAUUUUUUGUUUUGUCUUGUUUUCUUUUGGGUAAGAACACUUCUUGGUAAGAACACUGAACAUGAGAUUUAGCCUCUUGACAGAUUUUGAAGUGUGCAAUACUGUAUUGUUAACUGUAGGUACUGUGCUGUACAAAAGAUCUCCAGGGCUUAUUCAUCUAGCAUACCUGAAACUUUACACACAUUGAACAGCUACCUAUUUUCCC